CCGCGGUAAUACGUAGGUCCCGAGCGUUGUCCGGAUUUAUUGGGCGUAAAGGGAGCGCAGGCGGUCAGGAAAGUCUGGAGUAAAAGGCUAUGGCUCAACCAUAGUGUGCUCUGGAAACUGUCUGACUUGAGUGCAGAAGGGGAGAGUGGAAUUCCAUGUGUAGCGGUGAAAUGCGUAGAUAUAUGGAGGAACACCAGUGGCGAAAGCGGCUCUCUGGUCUGUCACUGACGCUGAGGCUCGAAAGCGUGGG
rnacentral:rRNA from 1 species